GAUUAUGGCUCAGGAUGAACGCUAGCGGCAGGCUUAACACAUGCAAGUCGAGGGGCAGCGUGGAGUAGCAAUACUCUGACGGCGACCGGCGAAAGGGUGAGUAACGCGUGAGCAACAUGCCCGAUACUGGAGGAUAGUCGAUGGAAACGUCGCGUAAUACUCCGUAACAUAGGGGACCGCAUGAUUCUCUAUUAAUAGAUUUAUCGGUAUCGGAUUGGCUCGCGUACCAUUAGCUAGUUGGCGGGGUAACGGCCCACCAAGGCGACGAUGGUUAGGGGUUCUGAGAGGAAGGUCCCCCACAUUGGAACUGAGACACGGUCCAGACUCCUACGGGAGGCAGCAGUGAGGAAUAUUGGACAAUGGCCGAGAGGCUGAUCCAGCCAUGCCGCGUGGCCGGGGAGGACCGGCCCUAUGGGUUGUAAACCGUCUUUUGUUGGGGAGCAAUAAGGGUCACGUGUGACCUGAUGAGAGUACCCAGCGAAUAAGCAUCGGCUAACUCCGUGCCAGCCGCCGC
rnacentral:rRNA from 1 species